AUGUCAGUCACAGGAAGAAAGGUCGAUUAUAAGCCCUUCACGGAAGAAUCGCAAGGGGAGGGAAUCAUCAAUUACCAGGCCCCAACAGGGAAAGAGAAUCCUCACCCUCGCUCCAUCUCCGAGACGGCGGCAGCAACCUCGCCUUCCCGCCUCUCCAUCCCGGAGGCACGCAGCGAAGCGGAUCCCCCUCCGAGGCCCAGGCUUCAGCUGCAGGGCGCCCCCUCCAGGUGUCCACGUCGGGCCUUUGGUUCACUCAUCCCUGGGCUUCUGUCUGCGGCCCGCGGUGAAGAAACUAAUGCACAGAAAAUUCUAGCAACAAGCCAGAAAUUAAACAGCUGGAAUAGAAGUUUAUAUGUUUUUGGUUGUCAUUUGCAAACAGGCCAGAUCUAACCAAGAGACACCCGUAAUCACACCUAAUGAAGAGGAAAUGGAAAGUUAAAAGCCAGAGAUAAGCCACUAUUUCUCAUUCACCACCACUUUCAACUUCUCUAAACACCAAAUCUUUCCUUAAAAUUUGAGUAAGUGAACAGAACUAGUAAAUAUGGAGCUUCAUUACAUGGUAGACUGUGUUACAACAGCUCUGCUUUUUUCAAAUCCUGCUAUUUCUUCUACAAAUCCACCAAAAUAAGAGCUAGUAAACCUGAAGUAGCUAAAAUACCAAAGUCAAGGAAACAUGGCAAAGUCCUAUGUGCUUCAGGAUCUUCUGGUAAAUAUUAUAAGAAUCUGAUUUAGGGGCACCUGGGUGGCUCAGUGGUUGACUGUCUGCCUUUGGCUCAGGUCGAGAUCCCAGGGUUCUGGGAUCGAGUCCUUAUAAGGCUCCCUACAUGGAGCCUGCUUUUCCCUCUGCCUGUGUCUCUGCCUCUCUCUUU
rnacentral:lncRNA from 1 species